rnacentral:rRNA from 1 species
UACGAAGGGUGCAAGCGUUAAUCGGAAUUACUGGGCGUAAAGGGUGCGUAGGCGGUUGUUUAAGUCUGUCGUGAAAUCCCCGGGCUCAACCUGGGAAUGGCGAUGGAUACUGGGCAGCUAGAGUGUGUCAGAGGAUGGUGGAAUUCCCGGUGUAGCGGUGAAAUGCGUAGAGAUCGGGAGGAACAUCAGUGGCGAAGGCGGCCAUCUGGGCCAACACUGACGCUGAAGCACGAAAGCGUGGGGAGCAAACAGG